ensembl:lncRNA
CACACACACACACACACACACACACACAUUUCGUCCUGCGGGAACACAGCCGCUGCGGGAGGAAAGCACGAGUUUCAUCAGAUGAAACAGUAAGAUGUCCAAAAGGUACUCCUUCCCACAGCCUCCCAGGACUGCUACCAGAUACAUGUGACGACUGACAAGAGAUAAGUUAAAAUAAAUAACUGGAAGUAAAUGAAAACAUGGAAACAGUCAAGGAGUCAUAGGACCAAAGAGCAUGAUACUCCAGGCUAGUAAUUUCACUAUUCAAUGCCCUGAGUUUUGUUGCCGUUUCCUAUAUAGGCAGCCUCAGCAAGCCUAGAGGAUGCAGAGUCGACCUGAGUUAAGAUAUGUGCUGUGAGUGAAAAAGCUUGAUUCAGUUUUUCUCCUGAGGAGAAGGUGGCUGCUUCAGUUCUGCUGCACCUCAGGAUGUGUUGUACCUAGGCAAGUCUCACAUCAUUUCAUGUCCUGCUAUCAAAAGUUUCAUUGCCUUUAUGCUACUUAAAAAAGCUAUGUUAAAAUGCACACACAUAUGUAGGCUGAUUAAAUAACCUUUUGUUCCCUAACUCUAAAACAUAUUUUUUUUUCCCUUUGCUACUACGUGGAUCAAGCAGCUCUAGAGUCUAUGAAGUGAGCCUAAUUUAUUCCUGACUUGUGCUGGAAUAAUUUAUGUUCUUGAGCCUUUGCAGAUGUAUAGUCACUAGAGAGCUGCCUGCUUACGGGAGUUUUUACACAUAUUUUGUCUAAAUCAGAGCUCCAAAUGCAAUGUCGGAGAUGCAGGGAGUUUGUGUGGAUUUGUAGCACUCCCUGGAGGACUCUGUGUCUAUAAACCAAUAAACAUUUCACAAUUCUCAGCAAGUGAAGAUUUUCAUAAUUUCUGAUGUAUGCAGUAUUGACCAUGCUUCUCAUUUUAAUUUCAGUAAUAUUCCAUAGGUAAUAAGUAAUUGGAAAAUAAAUUCUUGCAGGUGAACGCUAAAAGCAAAAAUUAGUCUUUCUAUACUUAGCUGCUGCCAUUUUCUUAUUAUAAACUAAAGAGGCGAAACAAAAUAAUCAUUUAUAAACAAAACACAUCUCACACUGGUUGAAAACUACAGUGAGAUGCAGAUAUUUUGUGGCCAAAACAUUCAAAAAGAAGGCAGGAAGAAACAGCCAUCUCAUUUCUAUAUAGAUUGAUUAUUUUUUCUUUGCAUAUGUAGUUUGACCAUCACAGGUUCAGCUGAAAAUAGUUAAUUCUUCAGAAAACUGACUGUGCCAACCUGUAGGCAGAUGUGAAGGUUAAAAUUCCUAAUUGUUGCUCUGAAAUCAGUUGAUACAAAGGAUGAUUAAAUACAGGGUCAAGACUUCAAAUUUAUUCCUUAGUCAGUAAGAUGUUAAUUUGGUAAGAAAGUGACUACAAAAUGUUUUCUGAAAGAGUCAGAACCCAUUGCUGCAUGUGGAGAACUGCAAACAUACCGACAGCAUGUACGGCUGGUGUUUACAGAGGUCUAUGAAUAAUAAAUAAUCUAGUUAAAUAACCAUUGUUAGAGCUAUGCAAACAAGAGAGCAAAUAAAUCAAGACCUCCUGCUCAUGCAUAGAUACCAACCACAGUACUUUUUCAUUUUUUUUUCUUUGUUUUCUUUGUUUGCUUAAAUAGGAGAGACAAAUAGCGGAUGCAGGUGUAAUCAGCUAAAAAUUGUGAAGCUAGUAAGAAGUGUUUUGGAAAAGAUCACCAAGUGGAUCAAUCCCCCUAUCAGAAACAGUCAGCAGGGGAAAGCAGUUUGCACCAGUAUAUGUACCCUGCCAUUCAGACUGUAUCAAUUUGUUUCUGCAACUGGCAUAAUGUGGCACAGUUCAGAGAGAAUCUCACAUAUGACUGCUGACAUACAGACAUACAGUGCUGGAAGUAAAGGAGAUUCAUGAGCAAAAGUGAAAAGGCUGCUUUUUUUUUUUUUUCACUUUUUUUUUUUUUUCUCCUUCAUAUGGGAAUUCAACUGUUUUAUUUUGUAUAGUGUUAUAUGUAAAAUCCAUUCUUUUAAACUGAUAUUACUACAUUCAGUGCUUAUAGUAUUCUGUUUAUUGUUUCUCUGUGUGAUUGUCUAUCUGUGCAGAAUUUCAUAUGAAAAAAUGAAAUACAUGGAUUACAUAUCAAGUACCUGCUUCCUUGCGUUAUCCUAUCCAGAAAUAAUAAUGUUUUUUAUGUUGAAAGAUGGUUGGGAAAAGGUUAAUUCUGUAUCUGGAUAAGUAAGAUACAUUUAUUUCCUAAUUCUGUAUUUCAUUUCUGGGAAUUUCUAUGAUAUAACCCCCUCUACUUGCCUAUCCAGUUGCUGUUUAAAUAUAAUAAAAUGCAACACUUAUUCAUCUUGAGACUCUUGACAUCUACAUAAAUAUCGCUAUGUGUGCAGAAUGAGUUAGGCACAACCAGUUUAGCACAGAAGCAGCACUGCUGUGUUCUCUGCUCUGCAUUGCAUGUAGUGCUUCAGUGCUUUGCAUAACAGCACAGAAAAGAAGCUUUAGGAGAUCCUUAGGCACAACCUGGGCACAGGAAGGCAAAAGUUUAAUGUGAGACAGGGCUUUUCCUUUUCGUUCUCUAAAUUUAAACACGAGGCAACACCCAAAGCACAGGAUUUAUUAAUGUAUUUGUCACACCU